UGUGCUACAGGCUCCCAGUGAUGGGCCAGGGGCUGGGUCACCGCAGGCCCAGCAGAGGAAGGGCAAGGCCGUUCCUUCCGAUUCACUAAAGGGCCCGUGUGCACAGGCGCCCUCCGGGCCAGCAGCAGGCCCCGGCCUUGGCCGCGAAGGGCGCUGCAGGUCUUCCCGCAAGACGGGGCGUCUCUUAUCGCCCGGGCCCUGCACUGCCACGUGUGCUGCGGCCACGCCAACUGUGAGUCCCUGGUGGAGUGUGCCCAGACGGACAAGUACUGUGUGAUCACGCGGGCCACCAACCCCGGCGGCAUCCUGGUGAUGAAGUCCUGCGCCCCGACCUGCCCCAACAGCACGGUGUCCUCGGACGGCCGCGCCCUCUCCGUCU